AUAUUUUUUAUUUUAUUUUUUCCAAAAAAUCAUGAUUUAAGACAAAAAUGGCUAAACAGCAUUAACAGGCCUGAUUUCCAUCACGAUACAGCUACAUAUAUUGUAGUGAUCAUUUUAAGAAGGAUCACAUUAAUUUUACAUUACGCCUUCUGCGCCUCAAAGACAAUGCCUGCCCAUCUAUCCCGAAUUUAUCACCUGAGCAACAAGUAAGACAACCCUUGCAAGAAGUGAAUCUUAAUCUGUUAUCAGAGAGUCGUGACAAUGCUGUUUCCCAAAAUGGAAUACAAGAUAUAAUGGUUGCAUCUACUUAUCAGUCAGUCAGUACACCAAACGUACAAAUAGUAACGGCUGGUUCAAUUAAGGACGUUUUGGCUCGUAUUGUCAAAAACAUAUUUAAAAACUAAAUUUUUCUUGUAAUAACGUCUCAAAAACAUAUGAAAAAAAAAAAGUGUGUCAGCUCCGUCGCACGAAUGGAGUUUACUCUUUUCAAUAGCAACGCCUGAAAAGUGAAAGGUGCGCAACCGAGGUGCAGCGCUGCGUGCGCGCCCGCCAACAGCGUGCACGUGCGUGCGGACGCGCUAGGCAUGUGCACGCUAUGGCGGCUACGUACGGUGAAAGGUGCGCAGAAUAGGUUGCGCACAAAAAACGUACCGAGGGGUAUAAAUGAAAAAUCGAUUGUUAAGGAGUAAACUCCAAUAAGUUAUGAAAUGACAUGCGUUACGUUUUUUGUGCGCAACCUAUUCUGCGCACCUUUCACCGUGCGCUGUGCCACCAACAACUUGCACAUCGCACCCAUGUGCACGCUGUAGGCGGGUGCGCACGCCGCGGCCUGCUGCACCUCGGUUGCGCACCUUUCACUUAUAAGGCGCGAGUAUUGAGUCGUGCUUCGAGCUAACUUUUUGUUUUUUUUAACAUACACACUUUUUUUUGUUGGUAAACAGUGCACAUCGAGUAGGGCUUUAGUAAUA